rnacentral:misc_RNA from 1 species
AAGAGUCAAAAUGGCGGGACUAGUGAGAGGUGUUCGAAGGCUUUCGAUGUUAACUCAUGUUCAUGCUCGGGUCGCGAGAGUUUCUACGAGAUUUUCGUCAACUGAACAGCAUGGCGAGAAUGGAACAAGGAGCCCCACCGAAGAGGAAGAAACGUCCUCCACAGGAUUUCCACCAGCAAGUAACUCUGUCGAUAGGUUGCCAGAUGCUUUCUCAGGAGCUGCAACCACACCAUUUAGCCGUGAAAUUACCCAAGUUCUGAUGUCACCAAUCAAUGAGACAGAUGUUGAGAUCAAACCAGAUGGGUUGAUCUAUAUUCCUGAAAUAAAAUACAGAAGAAUACUUAAUAAAGCAUUUGGACCAGGAGGUUGGGCAUUAGUGCCCAGGGGAGAAUCUCUUCAAUUUCAGGUAAAAUGAAAUUACUGAUAUCUUAAUCAACUAUGAGUGACUCUGAGCAGAUUUAUAUUUACCCUUGUUAAAGCCACGAUUACCUUAAUCAUUUUCCCCCUGAUUUUUAUAAAUCUUAACACAUCAUAUGUGAUACAGCCAAAUUGUUGGGGCAUCUGCAUAUAAUUCUGAAGUGAUUUUAUCUGGUGUUUGGUUGACCAGUCUUGUAAUAUGGUUGUCCAAGAGAGUUACUGUAUGCCCUGAGAAGUACCAUCAGAGUACAAUUGUGUUUGAAUUUCUUCUGCAAGCAAGCAGUAAUGAAAGGUUAAUGGGAAUUGGAAUUCUAGAGGUGGACAAUUCUUUAUCAAGAAAACAUUUUCCUCGUUGCAUUUGUCUUGAGUUACAGAAACACAAGUAGAAGUUUGGGAGAGUGAGAAAUGAUGUGGUAAUAUGAGUUUCAGAAUGACAGAGAUAACAGCCAGCUGAUUGUGCGGGAGUAUGCACUAUUUUGUUUAGGAAGAUUUGUGGCGCAGACAGUUGGUGAACACACAUUUUAUUCAACCAAUAAUAUGGUGUAUGGAAGAGCUAUGGAAUCUGCUAAGUCUAAUGCUUUAAUGAGGUGUUGUAAAGACCUUGGAGUGGCCAGUGAGCUCUGGGACCCACAGUUCAUCAUCGAAUGGAAAGAAAAGUAUGCUGUGAGUGCAUGGUGUGAAAAUGUACGAACCAGGGAAAAAAAGAA